UGGGGAAUAUUGCACAAUGGGCGCAAGCCUGAUGCAGCCAUGCCGCGUGUAUGAAGAAGGCCUUCGGGUUGUAAAGUACUUUCAGCGGGGAGGAAGGGAGUAAAGUUAAUACCUUUGCUCAUUGACGUUACCCGCAGAAGAAGCACCGGCUAACUCCGUGCCAGCAGCUGCGGUAAUACGGAGGGUGCAAGCGUUAAUCGGAAUUACUGGGCGUAAAGCGCACGCAGGCGGUUUGUUAAGUCAGAUGUGAAAUCCCCGGGCUCAACCUGGGAACUGCAUCUGAUACUGGCAAGCUUGAGUCUCGUAGAGGGGGGGAGAAUUCCAGGUGUAGCGGUGAAAUGCGUAGAGAUCUGGAGGAAUACCGGUGGCGAAGGCGGCCCCCUGGACGAGGACUGACGCUCAGGUGCGAAAGCGUGGGGAGCAAACAGG
rnacentral:rRNA from 1 species